rnacentral:rRNA from 1 species
GAAAAGAGAGUGCAAGAGAACGUGAAACCGUUGUGGUGGAAGCGGAUGGAGCCGACGUAUCCGGCGUGCAUUCAGCCGCUGUCGCGCGCGAUCCGCGCGCCGUGGAGUUCCGUCGAGGUCUCCGGCGCGCGGCUGUCGUGAACGACGAGUGGUGCACUUGCGCGCAGAGUGCGCCGAGUCGGCCGGACCCGCCGCUCGAAGCUGUGGUCAAGAGGACCGCUCCUCGCGGGGCGGGAACCUGGGCUGAGCGGGAGGCGGACGGGUCUGGCCGAGUGCAGACGCGCCGUCCGAACUGGGGCGUGCCGGUGCGGGUGCUGGGGUGCGGGGGUGCAGCGCGUGCGCUUGUCCCCGUGCGUCGGUGUCGGCCGCGUGCGUUCCUCGGGCGGCACUCGGUGUGUGGUCGGUGACCCAUUUGACCCGUCUUGAAACACGGACCAAGGAGUUUAAGGUGUGCGCGAGUGACUGGGCGCGAAACCCAAGAGCGUAAUGAAAGUGGGACACUGUGUGUCUGGGAUGCGAGCCGCGCGCGACUCGUUGCGCGGGGGGCAGCAUCGACCCAUGACUGGAACGUGUUCCGUUGUGGAGUCCGAGCGCACGCCUUGAGACCCGAAAGAUGGUGAACUAUGCCUGAGCAGGACGAAGUCAGAGGAAACUCUGAUGGAAGUCCGAAGCGGUUCUGACGUGCAAAUCGAUCGUCUGACUUGGGUAUAGGGGCGCAAGACUAAUCGAACCAUC